rnacentral:rRNA from 1 species
CGUCCUGCCGGCGACCGGCGCACGGGUGAGUAACACGUAUGGAACCUGCCCUGUACUGGGGGAUAAGCGGGGGAAACCCCGUCUAAUACCGCGUAACGCGGCCUAGGGACAUCCCAAGGCCGCCAAAGGGAGCAAUCCCGGCCACGGAUGGGCAUGCGGCGCAUUAGCUAGUCGGCGGGGUAACGGCCCACCGAGGCGACGAUGCGUAGGGGUUCUGAGAGGAAGGCCCCCCACACUGGUACUGAGACACGGACCAGACUCCUACGGGAGGCAGCAG